GAUGAACGCUGGCGGCGUGCCUAAUACAUGCAAGUCGAGCGAACAGACGAGGAGCUUGCUCCUCUGACGUUAGCGGCGGACGGGUGAGUAACACGUGGAUAACCUACCUAUAAGACUGGGAUAACUUCGGGAAACCGGAGCUAAUACCGGAUAAUAUAUUGAACCGCAUGGUUCAAUAGUGAAAGACGGUUUUGCUGUCACUUAUAGAUGGAUCCGCGCCGCAUUAGCUAGUUGGUAAGGUAACGGCUUACCAAGGCAACGAUGCGGAGCCGACCUGAGAGGGUGAUCGGCCACACUGGAACUGAGACACGGUCCAGACGCCUACGGGAGGCAGCAGUAGGGAAUCUUCCGCAAUGGGCGAAAGCCUGACGGAGCAACGCCGCGUGAGUGAUGAAGGUCUUCGGAUCGUAAAACUCUGUUAUUAGGGAAGAACAAAUGUGUAAGUAACUAUGCACGUCUUGACGGUACCUAAUCAGAAAGCCACGGCUAACUACGUG
rnacentral:rRNA from 1 species